GGACGGGUGAGUAAUGUCUGGGAAACUGCCUGAUGGAGGGGGAUAACUACUGGAAACGGUAGCUAAUACCGCAUGACCUCGAAAGAGCAAAGUGGGGGAUCUUCGGACCUCACGCCAUCGGAUGUGCCCAGAUGGGAUUAGCUAGUAGGUGAGGUAAUGGCUCACCUAGGCGACGAUCCCUAGCUGGUCUGAGAGGAUGACCAGCCACACUGGAACUGAGACACGGUCCAGACUCCUACGGGAGGCAGCAGUGGGGAAUAUUGCACAAUGGGCGCAAGCCUGAUGCAGCCAUGCCGCGUGUGUGAAGAAGGCCUUAGGGUUGUAAAGCACUUUCAGCGAGGAGGAAGGCAUCAUACUUAAUACGUGUGGUGAUUGACGUUACUCGCAGAAGAAGCACCGGCUAACUCCGUGCCAGCAGCCGCGGUAAUACGGAGGGUGCAAGCGUUAAUCGGAAUUACUGGGCGUAAAGCGCACGCAGGCGGUUUGUUAAGUCAGAUGUGAUAUCCCCGCUGCUAAACGUCGGAACUACAUCUGAAACUGGCAAUCUAGAGUCUUGUAGAGGGGGGUAGAAUUMCAGGUGUAGCGSUGAAAURCGUAGAGAUCUGGAGGAAUACCGGUGGCGAAGGCGGCCCCCUGSMCAAASACUGACGCUCAGGUGCGAWAGCGUGGGGAGCAAACAGGAUUAGAUASCYUGGUAGUCCACGCWGUAAACGAUGUMGACUWGGAGGUUGUGCCCUUGAGGCGUGGCUUCCKGAGCUAACGMGUUAAGUCGWCCGCCUGGGGAGUASGGCSGCAAGGUUAAAAMUCAAAUGAAUUGACGGGGGCCGGCACAAGCGGCGGAGCAUGUGGUUUAUUUUUAUGCAACAGGAAGAACCUUACCUACUCUUGACAUCCACGGAAUUCGCCAGAGAUGGCUUAGUGCCUUCGGGAACCGUGAGACAGGUGAGGCAUGGCAGUCGUCAGUUCGUGUUGUGAAAUGUUGGGUUAAGUUCCGCAACGAGCGCAACCCUUUUCCUUUGUUGCCAGCACGUAAUGGUGGGAAAUCAAAGGAGACUGCCGGUGAUAAACCGGAGGAAGGGGGGGAGGACGUCAAGUCAUCAUGGCCCUUACGAGUAGGGCUACACACGUGCUACAAUGGCAUAUACAAAGAGAAGCGAACUCGCGAGAGCAAGCGGACCUCAUAAAGUAUGUCGUAUUCCGGAUUGGAGUUUGCAACUCGACUCCAUGAAGUUGGAAUCGCUAGUAAUCGUAGAUCAGAAUGCUACGGUGAAUACGUUCCCGGGCCUUGUACACACCGCCC
rnacentral:rRNA from 1 species